rnacentral:rRNA from 1 species
AGUAACACGUCGAUAAUCUACCCUUAGGUCUGGGAUAACCUCGGGAAACUGAGGGUAACACCGGAUAAGGAAAUCCAACUGGAAGGUGGGUUUCUUCAAACGCAAGGCCUAAGGAUGAGUCGGCGGCGGAUUAGGUUGUUGGCGAGGUAAUGGCUCACCAAGCCGAAGAUCCGUAGGGGCCUUGAGAGAGGUAGCCCCGAGAAGGGCACUGAGAUACUGGCCCUAGCUCCACGGAGUGCAGCAGGCGCGAAACCUUUACAAUGCACGAAAGUGUGAUAAGGGAACCCUGAGUGAUGAUGCUUUGCAUCAUCUUUUGCUGAGAGCAAAAAUCUCAGCGAAUAAGUGGUGGGCAAUACCUGUGCCAGCCGCCGCGGUAACCCAGGAGCCACAAGUGGCAACCACCUUUAUUGGGCCUAAAGCGUCCGUAGCCGGUUCUGUAAAUUUUCUGUGAAAUCGUUGCGCUUAACGUAACGGCGUGCAGAAAACACUGCAGGACUCGGGACCGGGAGGAGUCAGAGGUAUUUUGGGGGGAGCGGUAAAAUGCUAUAAUCCCCGAAGGACCACCUGUGGCGAAGGCGUCUGACUAGAACGGAUCCGACGGUGAGGGACGAAAGCUAGGGGAGCAAUCCGGAUUAGAUACCCGAGUAGUCCUAGCUGUAAACUCUGCGAGCUAGGUGUUACGUAAUCUUAGGGAUUACGUGGUGUCGUAGCGAAGGUGCUAAGCUCGCCGCCUGGGGAGUACGGUCGCAAG